rnacentral:rRNA from 1 species
AUUGAACGCUGGCGGCAGGCCUAACACAUGCAAGUCGAACGAGUGGCGGACGGGUGAGUAAUGUCUGGGAAACUGCCUGAUGGCGGGGGAUAACUACUGGAAACGGUAGCUAAUACCGCAUACCAUCAGAUGUGCCCAGAUGGGAUUAGCUAGUUGGUGGGGGAACGGCUCACCAAGGCGACGAUCCCUAGCUGGUCUGAGAGGAUGACCAGCCACACGGGAGCUGGGACACGGUCCAGACGCCUACGGGAGGCAGCAGUGGGGAAUAUUGCACAAUGGGCGCAAGCCUGAUGCAGCCAAGGCGCGUGUAUGAAGCAGGCCUUCGGGUUGUAAAGUACUUUCGGUGGGGAGGCGUUACCCGCAGAAGAAGCACCGGCUAACUCCGUGCCAGCAGCCGCGGUAAUAC